ACUUAAUACAAAAUUUACGAUGAAGUCACAGUCACUUUAAAUAAAUACAAACAGUUUCAGUGCUUUGUCGUGUUUCCUAGUGGAAAGAUUUUCCAAUAAUUUUAUUGUCAGUUUAACUGAAGCUCUGUGAAUGAAAGGACAUCUUUUAACUUUUGCGACUAAAUUUAUUUAAAGUUUAUAUUUUAUUUUAACCAAAGAAAAUGAGGAAUAUAGCAAUACAGUGUUUUGUAUUUUGGAUUAUUCUCAAUCAAAAAGUUAUUUGUAAGAUGAUUUGGGAUAUUUCGUCUGAAGCAUCACUAAUCGAUGGUACAUCUGAAUCUACUAUAAUGGAUGGCAGAAGCGAGUAUGGAUAUGACGAUAGUUCUGACACGUGUUACAGAUCGGAUAAAGAUAGUGGUCAACCAGAGGCUGGAUACCAGUUCAUAUUUCCUGACACAUUUUUUAUACAUGGUGUCGUCAUUACAACUAGUCAUUUAGGGCUUGGGUACAUAUUACAUGAUUUUACGAUUGAGGUUUUUGAUUCAGAAUAUAAUCGUAUAACAUGUUAUAGAGAGUAUGGACAGGUUCCCGAAGCUAACUCUACACUGCUGUAUUUAUGCGAACACAGUUCCAGUACGACGCCAUUACUUUUGACGUCGAUCACAGUCAAGAAUCAACGGGACACGGGAAUAUUAACCCUUUGUGAGGUCGAAGUCUUGGGUCGAUCAGGAUUCAUGGGCGUAUUCUGCCGGGUCGAAGGUUAUACUCUAAAUGGAACAUCUUACGUCACCAGUUCGAUUCCGACCAAAACAAGUUGUUCGAUUCUAUGCCAACAGUCCAACUGUAAAGUAUAUAGUAUUGUAAUUCAAGAUGGCGGCUUAAUGUGUAAUCUUUACAACGAGAACAAAUUUAUUCUGGAAAAAUCGUCAGAUAGCGAUUUUUAUUUCAGAUGUUGAAAGCAGGAUAUAAUUAUUUGUAACAAAGAAACAAAAUGGCGACCUAAAGUUCUUAAUAGAAAAAGAAGAUGGCGGCAUAAAAUCAAAAGAAAAUUAAUGAGAACAUUAGAUGACCAUAACUUUCGGUAUUUGACGAACAUGCUGUUUACAGCAAGGCUACCUUUUAAUGUACAUGGACGGAAAGUUUAUAUUUACUUCGAGUUCGGAAAAUUGUGUCUCCAAUCGUCAUUCUUCGACCAGUCAACCGUAAAAAAAACAACAUUAAACAAACAUACGUUUAUUAUGUAAUAAAUCAGAAAAUAAACCGAUGUAGUAAAUGUGAUCUGUAACACAAAAUCAUCAUUAUAUAGACUAGAGCAUGGCACGUGACUUAUUGUGUUAACUUUACACCAUUCUGCACACAGAGAACUAUCUACUUUGAAAACAGAUCUCCACUCUUAAUGGCCACCAUAUUAAAUACAAUAGUAUACUAUUUAAUUUUGUUAUGCGGUUCUAAUCCGUUUUACAUCUUUCAAACACAAUAUAUAUAUAUAACAACAA